rnacentral:rRNA from 1 species
ACGAACGCUGGCGGCGUGCUUAACCCAUGCCGGUCGAACGGUGAAGCGCCUUCCUUUUUGGUGGGUGUGGAUGAGUGGCGAACGGGUGAGUAACACGUGAGUAACCUGCCCCCUUCUUCUGGAUAACCGCAUGAAAGUGUGGCUAAUACGGGAUAUUCUGGGUCUGUCGCAUGAUGGGUCUGGGAAAGAUAUUGUUUCGGUGGGGGAUGGGCUCGCGGCCUAUCAGCUUGUUGGUGGGGUGAUGGCCUACCAAGGCGGUGACGGGUAGCCGGCCUGAGAGGGUGGACGGUCACACUGGGACUGAGACACGGCCCAGACUCCUACGGGAGGCAGCAGUGGGGAAUAGUGCACAAUGGGCGCAAGCCUGAUGCAGCGACGCCGCGUGAGGGAUGGAGGCCUUCGGGUUGUGAACCUCUUUCGCCAGUGAAGCAGGCCUGCCUCGUUUGUGGGUGGGUUGACGGUAGCUGGAUAAGAAGCGCCGGCUAACUACGUG